rnacentral:rRNA from 1 species
AACACAUGCAAGUCGAGCGACUCUUCGAGAGGAGCGGCGAACGGCUGCGUAACACGUUGGAACCUGCCUCGUACUCAGGGAUAACACACCGAAAGGUGUGCUAAUACCGGAUAGUCCCGAAAGGGUAAAGCUUUCGCGGUACGAGAGGGGCCUGCGGCCUAUCAGUUUGUUGGUGGGGUAAUAGCCUACCAAGACUAUGACGGGUAGCUGGUCUGAGAGGACGAUCAGCCAGAAUGGGACUGAGACACGGCCCAUACUCCUACGGGAGGCAGCAGUGAGGAAUCUUCCGCAAUGGGGGCAACCCUGACGGAGCGACACCGCGUGAAGGAUGACGACCUUUGCGGUUGUAAACUUCUGUUCUGAGGGACGAAAUUUUUGACGGUACCUCAGGAGAAAGCACCGGCUAAUUCCGUGCCAGCAGCCGCGGUAAGACGGAAGGUGCAAGCGUUACUCGGAAUCACUGGGCGUAAAGCGUCCGCAGGCGAUCUUUUAAGUCCGACAUUAAAAUGCGCAGCUCAACUGCGUAGUGUGCCGGAAACUGGAAGAAUUGAGUCACCCAGAGGCAUCUGGAAUGCCAUGUGAAGGGGUAAAAUCCGUUGAUCCAUGGUAGAACGCCAAAAGUGAAGACAAGAUGCUGGGGGUGUACUGACGCUCAGGGACGAAAGCGUGGGGAGCGAAGGGGAUUAGAUACCCCCGUAGUCCACGCCCUAAACUAUGCGUGCUCGGUGUUGGGAGUUCAAUCUUUCCCAGUGCCCCAGCUAACGCGGUAAGCACGCCGCCUGAGUAGUACGGCCGCAAGGCUAAAACUUAAAGGAAUAGACGGGGACCCACACAAGCGGUGGAGCAUGGGGUUUAAUUCGAUAAUAAGCGGAGCACCUCACCCAGACUUGACAUCCCGAGAACGUUCUAGAAAUAGAACAGUGCCGCAAGGAACUCGGUGACAGGUGGUGCACGGUCGUCGUCAGCUCGUGCUUUGAAGUGUACUGUUAAGUCAGCAAACGAGCGCAACCCUCAUCCUAUGUUGUUUUUUCAUAGGAGACUGCCGCCUCCAAGGCGGAGGAAGGUGAGGAUGACGUCAGAUCUGCGUGUCCCUUACGUCUGGGGCAACACCCGUGCUACAAUGGCCGGUACAAAGGGCAGCGAACCCGCGAGGGAGAGCCAAUCCCAAAAAACCGGUCUCAGUUCGGAUUGAAGUCUGCAACUCGACUUCAUGAAGUUGGAAUCGCUAGUAAACGUGAAUCAGCUACGUCACGUUGAAUAUGUUCCUGGGUCUUGUACUCACCGCCCGUCAACUCAUGAAAGGCAGGGGCGCCCGAAGCACCUUUAUUCUUCGGAAGAGGUACCACGGUGAAACUGCUGAUUGGGAGUAAGUCGUAACAAGGUAUCCGUAGGAGAACCUGCGGAUG